GCAGCCGCGGUAAUACGGGGGAUGCAAGCGUUAUCCGGAUUUAUUGGGUUUAAAGGGUGCGUAGGCGGCGUCUUAAGUCAGCGGUGAAAUUUAGGGGCUCAACCUCUACCGUGCCGUUGAUACUGGGAUGCUGGAAUGCGGAUGCCGUGGGAGGAAUGUGUGGUGUAGCGGUGAAAUGCAUAGAUAUCACACAGAACACCGAUUGCGAAGGCAUCUCACGAAUCCGCAAUUGACGCUGAGGCACGAAAGCGUGGGGAUCAAACAGGAUUAGAUACCCC
rnacentral:rRNA from 1 species